rnacentral:lncRNA from 1 species
GCUCAUCUUAUGAUUCUAAGCCAAGUAUUUAUUUUUCUUUGCUUUCAUUGCUCCAUCAGCAAAAGGUAAAAUUUUUUCUGUGUAACCACAAGGUUGAUUGCAAAGAAUAGUAAAAGUUGCAUACAGUUUGUGAGCUUAAGGUUAUAUAUAAAACCUGAAUAUCACCAUCCCAACUCCUGCAGGGGGGUUAGAGCUUUCAGAUCCUUCUCCCAUGAGACCCAACAAUGAAUAUAUUUCCCAGCACCAUUUUCAAGACCAAAUGACAUUGAACUUAAAUUCUCAUACAAGGGUUUAUUAAAUUGCUAUCUACUUCCAGCAGCUAUCCAAGUCUUCAUUACAUUACAGCAAUAGUUUGGAGAUAUUUAGAGCAAACUUUUGGCUUUCUUGUCAUCUAACUUGAGAUAGUAACUGUUCUUCAAUUUCAUUGGUAUCAAUGUUGAGUUCAAGACAUUUUGGCACCAUAAUUGGGCAACUUCCUUCAUCUCACAGAAAUGGCACAGUUGCAUACAGGAUAAACCAUCACCCUUAAGUACAGAGGUAUUAAUAUAUUUAUUACAUGUUCAUUGAUCUCCUCCUUAGUGAGGUAUCAAGGCUUUUGGCUCUUACUAGAUUCCACCCAUUCAUUUGUUCAUUUCAUUAAAUUCUGAAAUCAGGAGUAAACAAAAGAGAUAAAAUUCUUAAUUUCAUGGAGCUGAUCCAAUGCAUGUAUUAUAGCUUUCUUCAACAGUCUUUACAUAUUCCUUGGGCAUGUCUAUGGGCACUAGAUUCUGGGAAUUUAAUGACAAAACUCAGCUUGAAUUUUUAGAUUAAUUAUCACACAAAUAUUUUUAUUUUGUUACUCGUUGGGUUUUAUUAGUCUAGAUGUGUUUUUCCUUGGAUAAUCUUGAUUCACCUGCAUUUUCCCCUUUGCCUUUUGUUUUCUUCAAUAGCCUAAGCACACCCCCUGGCCAAGUACUCCCCACUCCACCUCCCACUAUGCUUUAAUAUUUUUAAGGGCCCUGUCAGGCUUCAUUUUAUAGAUGAGGAAAUUAGACUCAAGGAAGUUAAAUAAUUUCCUCAAGGCCACACAGCUAGUCAGUGGUAGAUUUGGGAUUUCGAUUCAUAUAUAUCUGACUCCAAAAAACUUUAUUACCAACCACAAUUUUUAUUCUUGUUCUCUUUAAAAAAUGUCUUCCAUGCAUUUACCACUAAUAUUUAAUCACAUGGGAUUAUAACUUCUCUGAGAUAGUCUGUGACUCCUGGUAUGGUUCAAUCUAGACUCUGAUCUGUAAAUAUGUGAAUGGUAAAAGCAUAUAUUAUUUCUGGUACUGUUUUCAGCUUACAGUGGUUCUUAUCCAUUGCAAAUUGUAGUAUUUUUAAGACCAUUCAGUACCCAGAGGAAAAUCAUUCAUUUUCUUUGGAAAAUUCUUUGGUCUUCUGUUCAGUCCUUCCUACACUAUACCAAUCCCCAGAUCACCCAGCAGAAGCCUUUUUCUAUAGAUAACCCUAACAUUUUUGAAUGACUGUAUGUAAUGAUGAUUCACUAAAGUGACUGAGGAAUUCCUUUUUUUUUGUAUAUGUGAGCUAUCCAAGCUGCCAGUGUUUCAGCUCCCUUUAUGUAAACCUCCUCACCCAAAACAGAUGAACAAAAGAAUUACCUUUUCUGAUAACUGUUCUGAACUUACAUAUUUUUCUAAUAUAACCUGAAUUGAGGGUAGAGGCAUUUAAAAGGGGCCCUGUGUAAACAGAAUGGGUUCUCUUUUGUACAUGGGGUCAAAACACACAAGGACAUAGCAUGGUUAGGAGCAUAGUUAGAAUCUGUUUUACUUUAGCAAAGCUAAUAUUUUGGGGCCUGAGUUUCUGAAUUUAUAAAAUUAGGUGUAUUAUACUAGACAGUUACAAUAUGUCAGCAUUGUGAAGGAGAUUCUUCUUCUUCUUCUUCUUUUUUUUUCCUUUUUAGGGCUCCACUUGAAGCAUAUGGAAUUUCCCAGGCUAGGGGUCAAAUUGGAGCUGCAGCUGCCAGUCUACAGCAAUGCGGAAUCCAAGCCGCAUCAUGAAGGAGAGUCUUAGGAACACAGAUUCCCAGUCUCCACUUAGGGCUAGAAGAUCUGAGAUUGGAUUGAGAAUCUCUGUAUUUUAACUAGUUGCCCAGGUGAUUCUAUUCUGGAGACUGUCUUUGAAAAAAGAUUGUGUGGGAACCCUAUAAUAUUCUAUGCUUCAAUGCUUCAGUGGACUUUUUGGGGUUUGUUUUGUUUGGCUGUGAAACCAAUGUGAAAUUUCCUGGGCCAGGGAUUGAACCUGCACCACUGUAGCGACCUGACCUGCUGCAGUGAUAACACCAGAUGCUUAAUCUGAUGUGCCAAAAAACUCCUUCUGUGGUCUUUUUGUGUGACUUCAUUAAACCUAUUAUUUUCCACUUAGGAACAAUCCCUGUUGCAAGUAGGAGAGAGCUAAUAUUCCAGCUGUAAGCCUCUCAUUCAAGGUUCUUGCUGCAGCCAGCAGUGUCCUUGGAAUCUAGUUCAAAGCUGGAGAAAGUGAACCAUGGAGCUGGGAGCCAUUGGUGGAGGGGCUGGCCUGAAGGAAGUGAAGUGUUACAGCCAGAAUGUACUGACGCAUGACCAGGAAACCACAGACUGGUGAAAACCUUUCCAAGCCUGAGCUCUAUGAUCAAAUGAGGUACAGGAAGUAGCUCUGCCAAGAAACCUCUCCACUGCUGCCUGGAACCCUGAGCUUCUAUGCUUCCCUGAGUCAACUCUCCAAGCAGAUGCUGUCGUCUAUGGAGCCAUUACUAAAGCAUGUCCUUGCUUUGCUCUCGGGUGACUCCACUGGUGGGUAAGAGUGAGUCCCUUGCUUUUUUUUCUCUUUCUCACUUCUUUUUGGCAGAGUUUGCUGUCUGAUUGCUCCACUCUGAUUUUUCCAGAAAUCAUAGAUGACUGGAUCUUUAUCCUUUGCCAACUGGCCAUUGUUUGAUGCUCAGGACCUAUAUACAAAAACUAAAUCCUCAAACUCUUAGCAAUCCCUAGAUCACCUGAUCAGCAAGUAUCAAUAGCCUGGACUUAAAUGGGAGUGAAUGUCCCUUAUUUAUCACAUCAUAAAAUCUUUAUCCCUUCUCCCAGACUAGUCUCCCUGUUGUUAAUUUUAAGAAUAGAUUCAAACAGAAAUUACAUUCAGAGCCCUGUCCCAGCUACACAUUGUGUCUGGAUACAAGGUCAAAAUAAUUGUGUUCCUGUGAAUUCUCUCUUUGCUUGGCCACAGUAACUGCCAGUUGCCAUGCAAUAAAUCACAUCAUCAUAUAACAGAUCCAGUUAAUAGCUGAGAAUAGUAGGAUAACUGAAUUAUGUCUUGAGGGCUAAAUGAUGGAGAAAUUGGACUGACCAUGGAGCACUUCAAAUUGAUGGCUUAGUAAUGGUGUAUUUUUCCUGGAAAGAACCGGAUAAUUCUGAACUAUUGAUUUUGUCAAGGGUACAAGCUCCCAUGUAGAAGAAAAUAAAGCAAGUGUGAUGAACUUUUCAUUUGGCUUUCAGCCUGGCUUUCUUGCUUUUUGCCUUGCAUUUCAUGCCUAUAUUUUUAUUCUUUAAACCCUGACUAGAUGAUCCAGCAAUAUUGGCCAUGUGGCAUAAAAUCCACAAUCUUAAUCUUCUUAUUACCAAAAUCUCAGCAAAUAUGAGGUGGCCAACAGCUCUUAUGAGACAAUGCCCUAAAUCUUACCUUAGGUUUCAAUCAGUUUAGGAAACAUGAAAAAUUUGGUAAGGAGACAGCAAUACACUCUCUGUAAAGAUUUCAGAGGUCAGGAUUCAGAAGACUAUACAUACAAACUGAAUACUGACAAUCAAGUGUUUUCUGAAUUAUUCAUCCUCUGGGACUGUUAUGUAAAGUAGAGACUUUGCAAACACAUUGUGCUGCAGUGCAUUUUGAGACAUGCCAUUUUUGGAAAGUGCUAACUUUGUACACUGCUGACACUAAACAUUUGAAAAUAAAACCUUUUUUUCUCUCUUUCUCUCUCUCCUCUACUUUUGGCUCAGUUUAUCCUAUCAAAACAUACUUCAAAAGACUUUUUAUAGAAAGAAUGUUUCAAAAAUAUAAUAUUUCCAACUGUUAUUUUAAUAAUACAUGCUCUGGGACUCUCUUUAUGAACCAUUUUCCUUUCUUUGCUCCCAUUUAGAUGUAUAAAUAUUUCAUUCGAAAGCCCUAAGGAAUAGUCAGCCAAUCAGGUUGCUGAACUGUGAACAUUCCUAACCCUAUAAUUUUGUCUGUAGCAGGCACCUCCUGCUGUGGAACUAACUGCUAAGGGAUAUAGCAAUGUAAUCCUCAGACUGCUCCAUCUCAAGCUUGCUCUGAAGUGGAGAGAGGGAAGUAGUUUUAAUUUUGAUAAAAUAAACUUUAUUUUGUAACUUUAUUAUUUGUUUUUCUUUCUCCUUUCAACACUUCAUAAUAGACGUGUCUGGUAACUUGAAGUCAGUCUCCCCUGCUAAAGUGCCCUAGGCCACCCCAUAUUCUUAUAGCUUUUAAAAAGGUAGCCACACAAUGUUUGGUCCUGUCAUUCCACAAUUCAGAACCCAAGUCUCUUCUACCUUCUGUGAACCAAACCAAGCCAUAUCUGACUCUUACUAAACAUAUUCAAAUGGUGAUUUCCCAAUGGGUGGCAAUAGGAGAAGCAUGAGCACUCUCAUGUCACCUAGAUGACAUGGAGUUCUUAAAACCAUGUGCAAAAUUUUAAGUACCUUUCUAGUUGUUAGACUUUGCAUACCAGACCUCUACUUCAGCAAUUAUUGGAGCAUUUAAUGUUACAACAUGAAUUUCAUGGGAACUCCCGCUUUGAUAUAAACUCAAACAUGUUGCUAGGAAUAAAAAAUCUUUAUGGAUAAAAUUUAAUAUAUUUUGAAUCAAGCUCAAAGAGAUCUUUUGUUGUGUGUGAAAAAUAAAAUAAAAAUUCCCUUUAUAAAAUUUUAUGGCUAGAUGGAUAGGGAAAAAUAUUUUCCAGGAUAAAAAUAUUUUCUCAUUUCUUCUUAAAUUAGGAAAGUACAAAGUUAUAUGUAUGCACAUAAAAUUAAGGCUAAUUAUUAGCAUGCAAAUAGCCAAAGUUUUCAGGAGACAAUAGGACAAAAAUGUGGCAGAACUUUUAAAAUAUUUAUAAUUGACCAAGGAAUUAUGCCAUUAUAAGCCUAUUCAGGAAAAAAAUCAGGUAUAUAUCCAAAAAUGUUGAUCACUGCAUUAUUUCAAAGAGUGAAAAGUGUAAGUAGUUUAAAUUUAAAAGAAAAAAAUCCAUUUAGCAAUCUGAAAAAGAAAUCUCAUAUAUUUAGUUUCACUUUAAAAAGAUCAUUUCUAAGUAUUAAUUUGAGUAUUGUCAUCCUUUAAGUUAGUGAGCUUAAAACUAUAUUAAAAAGUGCUUACUGCAAUUAGAUAUAAUAGACUUUAGGGUGACAAUAUAUACAGCAGUUGUUAACUUUCACUUCUAGUAAUGAAAUACAGCUUAUAUGUGACCAACAUUCCAACAGUAGCAACUUGAAAAGCUGGUUAAAUUGGAAAAAAAACCUUUUUUUGGCCACACCAGCAGCAUAUGGAAGUUCCCGGGCCAGGGAUGGAAUAUGAGCCGCAACUGUGACCUAGGCCCCAGCUGCAUCAAUGCCAGAUCCUUAACCCACUUUGUUGGGCCAGGGAUCAACCCCAUGCCUCAGCAGCAGCCUAAGAUGCUGCAUAGACAGUGUUGGAUUCUUAACCCCUUAUGCCACAGUGGCAACUCCUAAAAUUUUUUAUGGCACUGGAAAGCUAUAAAGCAACAAAUAAUUGAGGGUUCAAGAACUUCAAAAUAAAAGAAAACUAGAGAAAUGAGCCUAAUAUUUGGUGUUGGUUUUCCCAUCAAGUUAUCUCCCAAUUUAAAAGCAGCCAAGAAAAUAAUAAACUGAGGGAAGCUUUCAGCAGUUUUAUGGAAUUGAAGGAACAAAAAUUAGAUUUGGAGACUGUGAAGGUGUUCAGUAUUUGGUAAAUAAAAAGCUUCCAUUUGGGACCCCUCAAGGUCCGCAAACUAAGAGUAAGAAUGAACAAAAUCAACCCUAACAGAGACUGAAACAAACUCUAGAGUCAGUUUAAUCCCAGGUUAAUAUAAAGUGAUCUGUGUAGGCCAAUGGCCAACCAAAAGCAAAGUAAAUGCUCUGUGCAGGGGGAUAACACUAUCAAAACCUCCAACUACCUUUAAAAUGUCC